UACGUAGGGUGCAAGCGUUGUCCGGAAUUAUUGGGCGUAAAGAGCUCUAGCGGUUUGUCGCGUCUGCUGUGAAAUUUCGGGGCUCAACCCCGAACUUGCAGUGGGUACGGGCAGACUAGAGUGUGGUAGGGGAGACUGGAAUUCCUGGUGUAGCGGUGAAAUGCGCAGAUAUCGGGGAAGAACACCCGUGGCGAAGGCGGCUCUCUGGGACGGUACUGACGCUGAGACGCGAAAGCGUGGGGAGCGAACAGG
rnacentral:rRNA from 1 species